rnacentral:rRNA from 1 species
UACAGAGGUCCCAAGCGUUGUUCGGAUUCACUGGGCGUAAAGGGUGCGUAGGUGGCCGGGAAAGUUUGAUGUGAAAGCUCGGAGCUUAACUCCGAAAUGGCAUUGAAUACUAUUCGGCUGGAGGGUCGGAGGGUAGUGGAAUUCCCGGUGUAGUGGUGAAAUGCGUAGAUAUCGGGAGGAACACCAGUGGCGAAGGCGGCUUGCUGGGCCGGACCUGACGCUGAGGCGCGAAGGCGUGGGGAGCGAACGGG